GUGCUUGCUUCAGCAGCACAUAUACUAAAAUUGGAAUGACACAGAGAUUAGCAUGGACCCUGCACAAGGAUGACAUGCAAAUUCAUGAAGCACUCUAUAUUUUC
rnacentral:snRNA from 1 species